rnacentral:rRNA from 1 species
AUUGAACGCUGGCGGCAUGCCUUACACAUGCAAGUCGAGCGGCAGCGCGGGGGCAACCCUGGCGGCGAGCGGCGAACGGGUGAGUAAUGCAUCGGAACGUGUCCUUUUGUGGGGAGUAACCAGUCGAAAGACUGGCUAAUACCGCAUGAGCUCGAGAGAGGAAAGACGGGGGAUCCCAAGGGAAACUGAGGGACCUCGCGCGAGAGGAGCGGCCGAUGCCCGAUUAGCUAGUUGGUGAGGUAAAAGCUCACCAAGGCGACGAUCGGUAGCUGGUUUGAGAGAACGACCAGCCACACUGGGACUGAGACACGGCCCAGACUCCUACGGGAGGCAGCAGUGGGGAAUUUUGGACAAUGGGCGCAAGCCUGAUCCAGCCAUGCCGCGUGUGUGAAGAAGGCC